rnacentral:rRNA from 1 species
GACGAACGCUGGCGGCGUGCUUAACACAUGCAAGUCGAACGAAGUGGCGAACGGGUGAGUAAUACGUGGGUAACCUGCCCUCCUUUUUGGGAUAAGCCUUGGAAACGGGGUCUAAUACCGAAUAAAGGGGGUUGGGCUCGCGGCCUAUCAGCUUGUUGGUGGGGUGAUGGCCUACCAAGGCGGUGACGGGUAGCCGGCCUGAGAGGGGGACCGGGAACGUUGGGACGGAGAAGCGGCCCAGGCUACUACGGGAGGGAGCAGUGGGGGAUAUUGCAGAAUGGGUGAAAGCCGGAUGCAGCGACUCCGAGGGGGGGAUGAAGGCUUUAGGGUUGUAAACCUCUUUCGCUAUCGAAUGGUUAGGUGGAGAAGAAGCGCCGGCUAACUACGUGCCAGCAGCCGCGGUAAUAC